GAGUAACGCGUAUGCAACCUACCUAUCAGAGGGGAAUAAACCCGGCGAAAGUCGGACUAAUACCGACAUAAAACAGGGGCACCGCAUGGUGAUAUUUGUUAAAGAAAUUCGCUGAUAGAUGGGCAUGCGUUCCAUUAGGUAGUUGGUGAGGUAACGGCUCACCAAGCCGACGAUGGAUAGGGGAACUGAGACGGUUGGUCCCCCCACACUGGUACUGAGACACGGACCAGACUCCUACGGGAGGCAGCAGUGAGGAAUAUUGGUCAAUGGGCGGGAGCCUGAACCAGCCAAGUCGCGUAGAAGGAAGAAGGAUCUAUGGUUCGUAAACUUCUUUGCAGGGAAUAAAGUGCAGGACGUGUCCUGUUUUGUAUGUACCCUGAGAAUAAGGAUCGGCUAACUCCGUGCCAGCCGCCGC
rnacentral:rRNA from 1 species